CACGGUGAGCUUUCAGCUGAACGGGAGACUGUCCCUCCUCUGCCUGCUCCUCCACAGUGUCCUCUACUGAGAUCACACCCGGAAUAAACCACUUGCAGUUGAAUGUGUGUCCAUGGGUUGGCUUCUAAGACACAGUUUCUGGAUGUGGACUCUAAAAGAAGAGGAUGAGCUGCUUUGUUAGGGCAUCAGGAAAGAUGGCUGAAAGUGUUCUCCAUUCCCCAGCAAGAGGGAAUCCUGAUGGCCAGAAGGAACACCGGAACUGUAGCACAUGGCACAGAACAGCAAAAGGGGAGCUGAAAGCCUGAAGGACCACCGGAACUUUAGCCCAGGUGCCCGGAAGGUACCGUGCGGCAACACCUUUAGAAAACUGCAGCG